CCUACGGGUGGCUGCAGUGGGGAAUAUUGCACAAUGGAGGGAACUCUGAUGCAGCGACGCCGCGUGAGUGAAGAAGUACUUCGUUAUGUAAAGCUCUAUCAGCAGGGAAGAAAGUGACGGUACCUGAAAAAGAAGCUCCGGCUAAAUACGUGCCAGCAGCCGCGGCAAUACGUAUGGAUCAAGCGUUAUCCGGAUUUACUGGGUGUAAAGGGAGAUUAGGUGGCGGAGCAAGUCCGAAGUGAAAACCAAAAGCGCAGCUAUGGGAAUGCUUUAGAAACUGCUCAGCUAGAGGGCAGGAGAGGCAAGUGGAAUUCUUGGUGUAGCGGUGAAAUGCGUAGAUAUUAGGAGGAACACCAGUGGCGAAGGCGGCUUGCUGGACUGUAACUGACACUGAGGCUCGAAAGCGUGGGGAGCAAACAGGAUUAGAUACCCUUGUAGUC
rnacentral:rRNA from 1 species